rnacentral:lncRNA from 1 species
AGACUGUGUAAUUUAAGUUUGGGGGAGGGUUUGGGAUGACAUUUGAUGUUGUGUUCUCUUUUCUUAUUUUGAAUUUUUAGCAUAUAAUUUGCAUUCAUAUAUGUGCAUUGAAAACCCCUAAAAAUUUGAAAAAUUUUCAGAAAAAAAUCUUUAAAAACAGAGUGUUCAUGUAGCUUGCAUUUGCAUAUUAGGAUUGAGUCUAGAUUGUUUCAUGUAGGACUGUUGCAUUAGCAUAGGGGGCGAUGAUGAGUUACACCUUGUUGAUUUGCUAUGAUUCACCAGUUGAGAUCAAUGCCCUGGUUGUUAGCUUUUUGAUGCAUGAUGA